CGGCACGGCUGACUGGCACUUGGAGAGUGGCAAGUCUUCCAGUAUGGGGAGCAAAACAGCUAUGGGUCAAGUCCGAUAUCUUUAGGAGAAGUCUUAUUGUGAGGGCGAGUUAUAUAACACCAUAGGACUGGCCGUCCCAUAUGAAAAGAUUAUAUUAGAAUUGAAUGAAGCUUUGUUUAUAUAUUGAUAAUGACAGUAUAUAUAUCGUGUCUUGACUAAUUGCGUGCCAGCAGUCGCGGUAAUACGUAAGAGACUAGUGUUAUUCAUCUUAAUUAGGUUUAAAGGGUACCCAGACGGUCAAUAUAGCUUAUAAAAUGUUAGUACUUGACUAGAGUUUUAUGUAAGAGGGCAGUACUUGAGGAGGAGAGAUGAAAUUUCGUGAUACCAAAGGGACUCUGUAAAGGCGAAGGCAGCCCUCUAUGUAAAAACUGACGUUGAAGGACGAAGGCACAGAGAACAAACAGGAUUAGAUACCCAAGUAGUCUUUGCAGUAAAUGAUGAAUGCCAUAGGUUAGAUUGAUCAAUUAUAGUCUAGGGUUAGUCUAGCAAACUAAUGCCCUAUGAUAUAAUUCAAAAUAUCUGGUCUAUAAAUGAAAGUGUAAGCAUUUCACCUCAAGAGUAAUGUGGCAACGCAGGAACUGAAAUCACUAGACCGUUUCUGACACCAGUAGUGAAGUAUGUUAUUUAAUUCAUUGAUCUGCAAUAUCACAAA
rnacentral:rRNA from 1 species